UACGGGGGGGGCAAGCGUUGUUCGGAAUUACUGGGCGUAAAGGGCUCGUAGGUGGCCAACUAAGUCAGACGUGAAAUCCCUCGGCUUAACCGGGGAACUGCGUCUGAUACUGGAUGGCUCGAGUUCGGGAGAGGGAUGCGGAAUUCCAGGUGUAGCGGUGAAAUGCGCAGAUAUCAGGAGGAACACCGGUGGCGAAGGCGGGUCUCUGGGCAACAACUGACGCUGAGGAGCGAAAGCGUGGGGAGCGAACAGG
rnacentral:rRNA from 1 species